rnacentral:rRNA from 1 species
GACGAACGCUGGCGGCGUGCUUAAUACAUGCAAGUCGAACGGAAAGGCCCUGCUCUUGUGGCGUGCUCGAGCGGCGAACGGGUGAGUAACACGCGAGUAUCACGCCCCUGACUGUGGGAUAACUCCAGGAAACUCGGGCUAUUACCGCGUAGGAUCUCCUGCUGCAUGGUGUUGGUUGGAAAGUUUCGGCGGUGGGGGAUGGACUCGCAGCUUAUCCGCUUGUUGGUGGGGUAGUGGCUUACCAAGGCUUUGACGGGUAGCCCGCCUGAGAGGGGAGCCGGCGACCAUGGGCCUGAGGGACGGCGCAGUCUCCUACGGGACGCAGCGGUCGGGAGUAUUACGCAGUGGGCGCGCGCCUGAUGCGGAGGCCCCGCGUGCGGAAUGACGGCCUACGAGUUAUAAACCGAUUUCGACUGUGCCGAAGCGUGAGUGACGGUAAUGGGUAAAGAAGCACCGGCUAACUACGUG